GCCAAAUCAGUAAAAUGAAUCAGAGCUUUGCAUUAGGGAGAUACAUUUCUUAAUUUAUAAUAAUUUCUAACAUUUUGACAUGUUUUAAUAUUUCUACACAUUUCACUCAUGGCCACAGGUCUGCACAUGAAAGGUUCUGCUCAAAGCAAACACGUUAUUUUGAGUUUUUCUUUACAAGUACAGACAAGGUAUUGUAGGAAGUCCGAAGACAUUUGUUCCUAAAAAUUACCAGCUUCAAACCAUCCC
rnacentral:lncRNA from 1 species